GACUCUCUUCAUGAAACAAAGAACUUCACUUUUAAGCUCUGUUUCAUGACCAGAGAUAAUCUGUCUUAGAAUGAAAAUGUUCCUGAUAAAUAUUAUCAUCUUCACUGCUGCUUUUUAUCUUUUUAACUGUAAUAUUUUAAAUACAGUUUCAGUAUGGUCACUGAUUUUUACUUGGAAGAUGUAUUUUACACUUAAUUCUGAAUGUUCCUACUUAAUAUGAGCCACCUAGAAUGUUUUUGUACCUUUUCUCUUUCAGUUGUCCAAGAAGAAAAAAAAAAAAAAACAUGAUUAAAUUUUCCUCAGUAACCAGUUCUCUCAGCCUACUUGAAACAGCUCCAAGCUACAUGAAAAUUCUGAUGUCUCAGAACAGUUGAGAAAUGUGAGUACAGUCAGCCUUAAAAUAUAUUUUUAUAUUCCACUUACGUGAUUAAUAUUGCACCUAUGAUCAGUUCCGAGUAUCAUAGAGAAUUGCAUUAAUAAUGUAAUCCAAAAGAGUGUUUAAAGCAAGAAUGGAGCACCUAAGCAAAUCAGAAAGGAGGUAUUUCAAUGAGUUUGUUUAUUUUGUUUUCUGUUGCAAGACAUUUCUUUAAGGCUAAAGCUUGAGAAUAGGUUACAAUGGAACUGCAAAAAGCGGCAUCGCAACCAAGGUAACUCGUUUUCUGGGUCCAAAUUAAGGGAAUAAUGUAAAUCCAUGAGAAGAAUUAAACUUUUAUUUAAGCUGUACUGAAGAAAUACAUCAGCCAGUGCUGAUCACCCUUUUUACCUUUUUCCUUCUUUCAUCCAGGGAAGUCCACGAUCUAAAUUUAGGAAUACUCUGUACCUCUGGGGUUUUCACAGCCUCUCAUUUAUGUAAUGUAUUUAACUGCAAUCUGUAUCUGCUUUUCUCAGUAAGUGAAUUUCACUGAGAGAUAUUUAUUUAUUUAUUUAUUUAUUUAUUUAUUUAUGACAAAUAGUAGCUUUGAUGUAACACAAAAAAAACCCUCAAAUUCCAGUCCAGAGCAUCUAAAUUCUGGCAGAAGUUCAGAUUUCAGAUUUGGCUCAUCAUAAAGAAAGAAGGCCUUUGAAAUUACUAGAAUGCAAUUCUCAUCAGACAUAUUCAAAUAGAGGAGUAAUUUGUUUGUGAUACUGACAUUUCCUUAUAUCUGAUGAAUAUGUAUAUUUUUAACUCCUCCACUUUCUUAAUUAGACAGACUCGUUGUAGCAUUUUUAAAUUAAAGAGUCACGAUUACUGUUUUUAAAGGUUGGAAAACUUAUGAACAUACAAAUGACUCAGCUACCAAGGAGGUAAUCCAAUUAAGGUUUAAGAUGUUAUAGGCAUCAUAUUCCCUAAAAUUCGGGAACAAAGUUUUAAAUUGAAAGAGACCAUGAAAUUUGGCACUGCAAAAGAAAUUAAACUACAGUUCUUCUCUUUCCUUUUUCUUAUCUCUUCAUUUUCUGAACCCGUUUUCUGAAUUUACUCUAUAGGCUUUCUCAGUUGAAAUCAAUUAAGUAUAUUAUAUGUACUGCAACAAAAGAUAAACUUUUUGAACUGGAGGGAACAAACUUUUCAGAUUUGGUGUCCGUUAAUAAGGAUAUUCAACAUACAAAAGCAACUAUGUUUUUGUUGGUUUUAUUUGCUACUGUUUCAAAAUCCCUAUGCUACUAAAAGUCUUACUGAAGGAUUAGCACUGCACUGUUGAAAAAAGAUCAAGAAGACAAUGUAGAAUGACCUUGCUUUGUAAAACUAAGAAUUGAGUAUCUAAAGACUUUUGGAAAAAAAGCAUGAUCUGCAGUGAAUUGGAACCAUAUGGAGGAGGAAAAAACCUAAGUCUAAGAAGUAAACAUCGGUUGAUGUUCACAGUGAAGAUCAAAAGCUCCCAUAAACCAUCUCCUACAAAAAGAAUGGAGAAAGCUCAGAUUAGAAAUGUAGUUUAUAUUUGCAAUUCCUUUCACACUUCUGAAACCUAAUUCCAAAGAAGACAGACUAGGAAUUGUAUGACUUAGAUAUCAGGUUCUUUAUUUAUGUUACAGAAAAAUAACCUGAUUCAUUUUUGUAUUCCUUUGAUUUUACAAUGAUGCAACUUUUACAGCAAUGGAGCGGUAUCAUUGUAAAACAUGGAAUAACUCUGUGAUAGAUCAGUGGCACAUCUGGGUUUUGUUUGUUUGUUCGUUUGUUUCAUUUUGUUUUUACAUUGAGUUAUCAUAUACAAAUGAAGGAAAAUAUUUUUACUAAGCCUGAGCUUCAGCAGAAUGGCUUAUCACUAGGUAAUUUCAUCCAGCUUCUUGAUUUUCUUGUCAUUUUAUUUUAUAUUAUUAUUAUUUAACAUAAAGAAACAUUUAAUGGGAAAUGAUAUCAGAAUGCCAGUGAUGAUCUCAUCUUUUUCAAAGUUUGACAAACUUUUAUCAAAGUUUUUUAAAGCACAUAGCACUCUUUGAAAACUCUUAACUUUGUUGUGUAGCAGCAGCUGAAAAAGAUAAAAUUGAAGUUUAUACUUAGUUCAUUCAUAUCUGAUGCUAUAACAGAAUAGCGAAUUAUUAGGAACUGAAUGUAUUCUCUCCCUUGUAAAUACAAAAACCUGGAAGUAGAUAUUUCAAGAUUUCAGAUACAAUUUUAUAUGUAGAAACUUUUCCUCAGUUUUUCUUUCUAAAUAUUUUUUGAACCUUGCAAGUAAUUUUUUAGGCAAGAGGUUUUUUCUUGAGUUCUUCUGAACUGUCUAACUGGUAGAACUCAGAGGGUUGUGACCAGUGGUACAGAGUCUAAUUGGAGGCCUGUAACUAGUGGUGUUCCCCAGGGGUUGGUGCUGGGUCCAAUCUUGUUUAACAUCUUCAUCAAUGAAAUUUGCUGAUGAUAUAAAGCUGGCAGAAGUUGCUGACACACCUGUGCUGUGUGUCAACAUGCCUGUGCUUCCAUUCAACAAGAACUGGACAGACUAGAAGUUGGGCAGAGAGGAACCUGAUGAGUUUCAACAAGGGCAAGUGUGGAGUCUUGCGCUUGGGGAGGAAUAACUGCAUGUAUCAGUACAGGUUAGGGGCUGACUUGACUGUAAGGAGUCUGUGGAGAAGCCUGGUAGGCAAUAAGAGCCAGCAGUGUGCCCUUGUGGCCAAGAAUGCCAAGUGUAUCCUGAGGUGCUUUAAAAAGUGAAUGGCCAAUGAGUUGAGGGACGUUAUCCUUCCCCUCUACUCUGCCCCAGUGAGGUCACAUCUGAAAUAAUGUGUUCAGUUCUGAGCUCCUUGGUUCAAAAAAGACAGAUAUUUCCUAGAAAAUGUCAAGUGAAGAGGGAAAAAUAUGAUUAGGGGUUUGGAGCAUCUCCCUUAUGAGGAAAGGCUGGGAGGGGAUCUCAUAACUGUUGAUGAGGACAGACUCUUACGACAAGCAACAAAAACAAUGGGUAUACUAUCUAUGAUCGGCAAAAUCACUGAGACUUCUCUUGUCCAGUAGAUCUUUCAGUCCAUAAUAUUUCUCAUUAGGUGAAUUAUGCUCUUAAAGAAUACUUCUCAGAGUAAAUGACCUUGAAAAUUAAUGCACAGAGGACAAGAACUCAACAAUACCUAUACAAUAUGUAUAGAACAAGAAAUUUAAACAUGACUGAAAGAUGUAUGUGAAGAACAGCCAAUUCUGAACACCUUUGAAAAGGUGAAUCUUGCGAUAACUCCUGUCACACCUCCAACCCAUUGGUAUAAAACAUUGGUAUCAAAACCCACACAGCUUCUCUACUUCCUUUGUCCUGUCUAGACAACAUUACUGAGGUCUUUGGUCAUGACGAGAAAAAAAAGAAAACUAUGAAUACUUAUAUGUGUACUGGCCAAGAUAGAUUUCACAGUUAAAAAGAUAUUCAGUGACUUCUGUCUCUUGCAUUUUACUCUCCAAACAACAUGAUAUGACUUUUGUUAGCAUGUCACUCAAACCUCAGAGUACCCAGCACCGUUCAGAGCAUGAAAUGGGACCUCUUAUUUUUUCUACACAGGAAUUUACGAGGGUUGCUCUGAAAGUAAUGCCUCCUAUUUUAUUAUGUUGGCUCAUGACAUCAAAGGUGUUGGUAGUUGGUAGUUAAUUCCAUUACUGAUGUGCAAUGACAGAUGGCAGCAGAGGGGCAGUUUAACAAUUUAGCAUCUGACAUGGAAGCAGAAGUGUGUCAUUGAAUUCCUCCAUGUGAAAAAAAUAGCACCCAUUUAGAUCCAUCAACACUUGCUAAAUGUUGAUGGAGUCCAAACAAUGGACGUGUGCACAGUAAGGUGGUGAGUGGUGCAUUUCAGUAGUGGUGACAGCAAUGUGAAAGACAAGCCACAUUUUAGACAGUUCUGCACAGCUGUUGCACCCCAAAAUGAAGUGUCUCGAUCACCUCAUCCAUGCAAACUGGUGGAUUAUAGUGAGGGAACUGUGAAUGGAAUUGACUAUAGGCUUCAAUGCACUG
ensembl:lncRNA